rnacentral:rRNA from 1 species
GAUGAACGCUAGCGGCAGGCCUAAUACAUGCAAGUCGAACGGUAACAUUGGUGCUUGCACCAGAUGACGAGUGGCGCACGGGUGCGUAACGCGUAUGCAACCUACCUUUUACUAGAGUAUAGCCCAGAGAAAUUUGGAUUAAUCCUCUAUAACAUCUUUUAAUUUCAUGAUUUUAAGAUUAAAGUUUUAACGGUAAAAGAUGGGCAUGCGUCCUAUUAGUUUGUAGGUGAGGUAACGGCUCACCUAGACUACGAUAGGUAGGGGCCCUGAGAGGGGGAUCCCCCACACUGGUACUGAGACACGGACCAGACUCCUACGGGAGGCAGCAGUGAGGAAUAUUGGGCAAUGGGCGCAAGCCUGACCCAGCCAUGCCGCGUGCAGGAAGAAUGCCCUAUGGGUUGUAAACUGCUUUUAUACAGGAAGAACACCACCCACGUGUGGGUGACUGACGGUACUGUAAGAAUAAGGACCGGCUAACUCCGUG